GGGGAAUAUUGGACAAUGGGCGAAAGCCUGAUCCAGCCAUGCCGCGUGUGUGAAGAAGGUCUUCGGAUUGUAAAGCACUUUAAGUUGGGAGGAAGGGCUGCAAGUUAAUACCUUGUAGUUUUGACGUUACCAACAGAAUAAGCACCGGCUAACUUCGUGCCAGCAGCCGCGGUAAUACGAAGGGUGCAAGCGUUAAUCGGAAUUACUGGGCGUAAAGCGCGCGUAGGUGGUUUGGUAAGAUGGAUGUGAAAUCCCCGGGCUCAACCUGGGAACUGCAUCAAUAACUGCCUACCUAGAUAACGGUGGAGGGUGGGGAAAUUUCCUGUGUGGCGGUGAAAUGGGUAGUAAUAGGAAGGAACACCAGGGCGGAGGCGACCACCUGGACUGAUACUGACACUGAGGUGCGAAAGCGUGGGGAGCAAACA
rnacentral:rRNA from 1 species